rnacentral:rRNA from 1 species
AUUGAACGCUGGCGGCAGGCCUAACACAUGCAAGUCGAGCGGUUGAAGGGAGCUUGCUCCUGGAUUCAGCGGCGGACGGGUGAGUAAUGCCUAGGAAUCUGCCUGGUAGUGGGGGAUAACGUCCGGUAACGGGCGCUAAUACCGCAUACGUCCUGAGGGAGAAAGUGGGGGAUCUUCGGACCUCACGCUAUCAGAUGAGCCUAGGUCGGAUUAGCUAGUUGGUGGGGUAAAGGCCUACCAAGGCGACGAUCCGUAACUGGUCUGAGAGGAUGAUCAGUCACACUGGAACUGAGACACGGUCCAGACUCCUACGGGAGGCAGCAGUGGGGAAUAUUGGACAAUGGGCGAAAGCCUGAUCCAGCCAUGCCGCGUGUGUGAAGAAGGUCUUCGGAUUGUAAAGCACUUUAAGUUGGGAGGAAGGGCAGUAAGUUAAUACCUUGCUGUUUUGACGUUACCAACAGAAUAAGCACCGGCUAACUUCGUG